rnacentral:rRNA from 1 species
GACGAACGCUGGCGGCGUGCUUAACACAUGCAAGUCGAACGGAAAGGCCCUGCUUUUGUGGGGUGCUCGAGUGGCGAACGGGUGAGUAACACGUGAGUAACCUGCCCUUGACUUUGGGAUAACUUCAGGAAGCUGGGGCUAAUACCGGAUAGGAGCUCCUGCUGCAUGGUGGGGGUUGGAUCGUUUCGGCGGUUGGGGAUGGACUCGCGGGUUAUCAGCUUGUUGGUGGGGUAGUGGCUUACCAAGGCUGUGACGGAUCGCCGGCCUGAGAGGGUGACCGGCCACAUGGCGACUAAGAGACGGCCCAGACGCCUACGGGAGGCAGCAGUGGGGAGUAUGGCACAGUGGGCGGAAGCCGGAGACAGCAACGCCGCGGUCGGGAUGACGGCCUUCGGGGUAUAAACCGCAUUCGCCUGUGACGAAGCGGGAGUGACGGUAAUGGGUAAAGAAGCACCGGCUAACUACGUG